rnacentral:rRNA from 1 species
AUGAACGCUGGCGGCGUGUUUAAGGCAUGCAAGUCGAAUGGUUAGUAGCAAUACUGGCCAUGGCAAACGGGAGAGUAACACAUUGAUAACUCACCCAGACGACGAGCAUAACCCUGCGAAAGCGGGGAUAAUACUCGAUAAGAAUGAGGGUACAAAAGUCAUUCUCAUUUAAAGUUCCAACGCUUCUGGAGAGGUCUAUGUCCUAUCAGCUAGUUGGUGAGGUAAUGGCUCACCAAGGCUACGACAGGUAGCGGGUGUGAGAGCAUGACCCGUCUCACUGGGGCUGAGACACUGCCCAGACUCCUACGGGAGGCUGCAGUCAAGAAUCUUCCACAAUGGCCGAAAGGCUGAUGGAGCGACGCCGCGUGUAUGAUGACGCCCUUCGGGGUGUAAAGUACUUUUCUCUGGGAAGAAACAAUGACGGUACCAGAGGAAUAAGGAGCUGCUAACCUCGU